CUCGCCUUUUAGCUAUUAGCUAAGAUUAAGUAUAUGAUUUGUUCUUAUUAGUUUAAUAUAUGAUACAUGGGACACGUCUACAAUGAUAUUAAAUUUAUUUUUUGUGAGAAAGAAUUUGUAAUGAUAGCUUGUUACUAGAGUUCUUGUGUAUUGCUCUAAUAUUGUAUUGCUGCUUGGGUUUGGUGCACCCCAA